rnacentral:rRNA from 1 species
UACGAAGGGGGCUAGCGUUGCUCGGAAUCACUGGGCGUAAAGGGUGCGUAGGCGGGUCUUUAAGUCAGGGGUGAAAUCCUGGAGCUCAACUCCAGAACUGCCUUUGAUACUGAGGAUCUUGAGUUCGGGAGAGGUGAGUGGAACUGCGAGUGUAGAGGUGAAAUUCGUAGAUAUUCGCAAGAACACCAGUGGCGAAGGCGGCUCACUGGACCAUAACUGACGACUGAUGGCACGGAAAGCUAGGGGAGCAAACAGG